GAUGAACGCUGGCGGCGUGCCUAAUACAUGCAAGUCGAGCGAACAGACGAGGAGCUUGCUCCUCUGACGUUAGCGGCGGACGGGUGAGUAACACGUGGAGAACCUACCUAUAAGACUGGGAUAACUUCGGGAAACCGGAGCUAAUACCGUAUAAUAUAUUGAACCGCAUGGUGCAAUAGUGAAAGACGGCUUUGCUGUCACUUAUAGAUGGAUCCGCGCCGCAUUAGCUAGUUGGUAAGGUAACGGCUUACCAAGGCAACGAUGCGUAGCCGACCGGAGAGGGUGAUCGGCAAGACUGGAACUGAGACACGGUCCAGACUCCUACGGGAGGCAGCAGUAGGGACUCUUGCGAAGUGGGCGACAGCAUGACGGAGCGACGCAGCGUGAGUGAUGAAGGUCUUCGGAUCGUAAAACUCUGUUAUUAGGGAAGAACAAAUGUGUAAGUAACUAUGCACGUCUUGAAGGUAACUAAUCAGAAAGCCACGGCUAACUACGUG
rnacentral:rRNA from 1 species